rnacentral:rRNA from 1 species
AGUCGAGAAUUUUUGACAAUGGGGGAAACCCUGAUCGAGCGACGCCGCGUGGAGGAUGAAGGUCUUCGGAUUGUAAACUCCUGUCAUUGGGGAACAAGGUGCAUACGUUAACUGCGUGCGCAUUGAUAGUACCCGAAGAGGAAGAGACGGCUAACUCUGUGCCAGCAGCCGCGGUAAUACAGAGGUCUCAAGCGUUGUUCGGAUUCAUUGGGCGUAAAGGGUGCGUAGGCGGCGCGGUAAGUCGGGUGUGAAAUCUCGGAGCUUAACUCCGAAACUGCAUUCGAUACUGCCGUGCUUGAGGACUGGAGAGGAGACUGGAAUUUACGGUGUAGCGGUGAAAUGCGUAGAUAUCGUAAGGAAGACCAGUGGCGAAGGCGGGUCUCUGGACAGUUCCUGACGCUGAGGCACGAAGGUCAGGGGAGCAAA